rnacentral:rRNA from 1 species
AUUCCUGUACUAUGAUAUGACAGAACUGUGGGGACACGUGCAGAGAGCGGAAGCCGGGAAUGGGAUCCCGGUGCAAGCGAGGUACCAGCCGCAUUGGAAAAACCGUGCGGCAAUGGGAAGACGUGAUGCGGAGUGAAGUUUAGUAAUGUAGUCCGUGAGCUGUGCGUCAAGAAAAGCCGCUAUUGUUCAUACCAUACCCGUACCGUAAACCGACACAGGUGGAUGAGGAGAGAAUCCUAAGGCCGGCGGAAGAAGCAUUGUCAAGGAACUCGGCAAAAUGACCCCGUAACUUCGGGAGAAGGGGUGCCUGCGAGAGCAGGCCGCAGAGAAUAGGCUCAAGCAACUGUUUAGCAAAAACACAGGUCUAUGCGAAACCGAAAGGUGAGGUAUAUGGGCUGACGCCUGCCCGGUGCUGGAAGGUUAAGAGGAGAGGUUAGCGCAAGCGAAGCUUUGAAUUUAAGCCCCAGUAAACGGCGGCCGUAACUAUGACGGUCCUAAGGUAGCGAAAUUCCUUGUCGGGUAAGUUCCGACCCGCACGAAAGGCGUAAUGAUUUGAGCGCUGUCUCGACAAUGCAUCCGGUGAAAUUGAAGUACCAGUGAAGAUGCUGGUUACCUGCGCCAGGACGGAAAGACCCCAUGGAGCUUUACUCCAGUUUGGUACUGGGAUCCGGUACUGCAUGUACAGGAUAGGUGGGAGGCUGAGAAUCGGUAACGCCAGUUGCCGAGGAGCCGCUGUUGGGAUACCACCCUUGCAGUAUUGGGUUUCUAACCAGCCGCCGUGACCCGGCGGUGGGACAAUGCCAGACGGGGAGUUUGACUGGGGCGGUCGCCUCCGAAAGGGUAUCGGAGGCGCCCAAAGGUUCCCUCAGGAUGGACGGAAACCAUCCAAAGAGUGCAAAGGCAGAAGGGAGCUUGACUGCGACACCGACGGGUGGAGCAGGUACGAAAGUAGGGCUUAGUGAUCCGGUGGUAUUAAGUGGGAAUGCCAUCGCUCAACGGAUAAAUGCUACCCUGGGAUAACAGGCUUAUCACUCCCAAGAGUUCACAUCGACGGAGUGGUUUGGCACCUCGAUGUCGGCUCAUCGCAUCCUGGGGCUGUAGUAGGUCCCAAGGGUUGGGCUGUUCGCCCAUUAAAGCGGUACGCGAGCUGGGUUCAGAACGUCGUGAGACAGUUCGGUCCCUAUCCGGCGUGGGCGUAGGAUAUCUGAGAGGAGCUGUCCUUAGUACGAGAGGACCGGGAUGGACGGGCCGCUGGUGCACCGGUUAGACUGCCAAGUCUAUAGCCGGGUAGCCAAGCCCGGAAGGGAUAAACGCUGAAGGCAUCUAAGCGUGAAGCCCCCCUCAAGAUGAGAUAUCCCAUCCGAAAGGAGUAAACCCCCUUGAAGACGACGAGGUCGAUAGGGCAGAGGUGGAAGUGUGGUAACACAUGGAGCUGACUGCUACUAAUAGGGUGAGGGCUUGACC